rnacentral:misc_RNA from 1 species
GUAGGUGAACCUGCGGAAGGAUCAUUAACACUCGACAAUCAUAAGUCGUUAAAACUUGUACCCAACCCAACAAACUUCCACGAGCUAACCCCGUCCACGGACGUGAUAAAAUCCCCUUUAUAUUUCGGGGGUAUAUUGAGUAUUAUAUUUGACAAUGAUAACGUCAUAUGAUUGAGAAUUAAGGACCUAUUUGGCGUGUUCUCUGCGCAUUUUUGCCAGGUGAUUGGUCGAAAGAUUAGUUAUUGGGUAG